UGGAAGUGAUGAAAUAGAGAUAAUUGGAUGUCUUUGAAUGGAGUGUGUGUGAGAAAUGGAAUUUAAACCAAGUCAGCUGGGGGUGGGGUGGGGGAUGUGUGUGGGGAUGGAUGGAAAAGGCUUUAAAUGGGGGCACUGACUUCCGUGCUGACUCCGGAGUGCAUCUGAGGCGUGUUGGGCACUUCUGGGGCCACUCUGCAACACUGCCCAUGAUUAAAGCCCAAAGCAAGCCCACCAGGAGAAGCCCAGACAUCCGAAAUCUCUAACAGGUCACUGAUGAAAGUGGUCCUGUGAUCUGAUCUCA
rnacentral:snoRNA from 1 species